rnacentral:tRNA from 2 species
GCCACCCUGGCUCAAUGGCAGAGCACGCGCUUCGUAAGCGUGAGGUUGAGGGUUCGAAUCCCUCGGGUGGCU